CUCUCACAGGGGUAGGGAUAGGAAUUCUGGCUACACCUCGGACACCUAAUACCUGCUUAACGAGUUAUAUUUUGGCGACUUUGAGCCUCAGUCGUCAGUUUUUCCGGAAGAGCAAAUGAUUUCCGGGUUUCUGUGUGGCGAAAUGGCGUCCAGGCUGUACCCUAUCGGGAACUUCCUGAACGGAGUGAGGGCCCCUAGUUAAUUCUGCUUUUCUCACAACCAUGUAGUUGCAGUACCUUUCUACUGGUAAAAAACCACUUCCGUUUUGAAUUAUGCCUGUGUUCUUUUACUUAGAUAAAACUAAAUUCGCUUCUAGAAAAGUAAUUUCUGCUCGUCUAAGAGGUAUUUAGUGUCAGUAUCCUUCUACUCGUAGAAAAAAACCAUUCACUUUUUAAUUAUUCUUGUAUCCCUUUUUAAAAUUGCAAAGGUACGAUCUGACUUGAUGGGUUGUCAGCCAGCUAGAUUACCAAGGAAAUAACUUUUCUAUUUUCUGGAAACUUUUCUAUUCAUCUGGAAAUAAAACAAUUUUUAUAUGUG